rnacentral:rRNA from 1 species
AGAGUUUGAUCCUGGCUCAGGAUGAACGCUAGCGACAGGCUUAACACAUGCAAGUCGAGGGGCAACAAGAGGGUUUGAAUACCCUUGUCAGCGACCGGCGCACGGGUGAGUAACACGUAUGCAACCUGCCCCGCGGCGGGGGACAACCCAGAGAAAUACUGACUAAUACCCCAUGGGGUCCUGGAGGGGCAUCCCUCCGGGACUAAAGAUUCACCAUUGCUGGAUGGGCAUGCGGAUCGAUUAGCUAGUCGGCGGGGCAACGGCCCACCGAGGCGACGAUCAUUAGGGGUUCUGAGAGGAAGGUCCCCCACAUUGGUACUGAGACACGGACCAAACUCCUACGGGAGGCAGCAGUGAGGAAUAUUGGUCAAUGGCGGAGAGUGCUGAACCAGCCAUAGUCGCGUGAGGGAAGACGGCCCUAUGGGUCGUAAACCUCUUUUGUGCGGGAAUAAAGUUCCCCAUGCCUGGGGAUUUGCAUGUACCGCACGAAUAAGGUUCGGCUAAUUCCGUGCCAGCAGCCGCGGUAAUACGGAGGAUCGGAGUGUUUUCCGGAUUUAUUGGGUUUAAAGGGGGGGUAGGCGGGUGAUCAAUUCAGUGGUGAAAUGGUGCGGUUCAACCGUAGCAUUGCCGUUGAAACUGGUUGUCUUGAGUGCGAAUGAGGUGGGCGGAAUGUGUCAUGUAGCGGUGAAAUGCAUAGAUAUGACACAGAACACCGAUUGCGGAGGCAGCUCACUGGGACGCGACUGACGCUGAGGCACGAAAGUGCGGGGAUCGAACAGGAUUAGAUACCCUGGUAGUCCGCACAGUAAACGAUGAAUGCUAGCUGUCGGCGAUACACAGUCGGUGGCCAAGCGAAAGCGAUAAGCAUUCCACCUGGGGAGUACGUUGGCAAGAAUGAAACUCAAAGGAAUUGACGGGGGCCCGCACAAGCGGAGGAACAUGUGGUUUAAUUCGAUGAUACGCGAGGAACCUUACCCGGGCUUGAAAUCAGAGUUGACGGCAGGGAGGAGACCUCUUGUUCCACCAAUGCAGACAUGGUAGGUGCCGCAUGGUGGUGGUCAGCUCGUGCCGGGAGGUGUGGGUCUAAGUGCCAUAACGAGCGCAACCCUUUCCUGUAGUUGCCAUCAUUUGGUUGGGGACUCUACGGGGACUGCCACCGCAAGGUGCGAGGAAGGUGGGGAUGACGUCAAAUCAGCACGGCCCUUACUGUCGGGGGGGACACACGUGUUCCAAUGGGGGGGACAGAAGGAGGCGACCCGGCGACGGGGAGGGAAUCCCGAAACCCUCUCUCAGUUCGGAUCGGAGUCUGCAACCCGACUCCGUGAAGCUGGAUUCGCUAGUAAUCGCGCAUCAGCCAUGGCGCGGUGAAUACGUUCCCGGGCCUUGCACUCACCGCCCGUCA